AUAUCACCCUGUACAAAAUAUGUUUAAAACUCAUUCAAAGUCAUUAAUCCAUGUAGUAUCUGUUCUUGUAUCAAUAACCGCAAGUAACAUUGAAUUGUCAUGUUUUGUUAUUAUUUAAAUGUGUAUAUAAACAUUAACUCGGUGGAGAAAGAUUAUUGUACUCAGUUAGUAAUGAUUGUUGUAGUAGGUCGUUACUGUUAAAUGUAAACAUAUUGUUAUGGUUAGUCGUUGAUGGAGGUGAUUGUAAAUAUAAUGUAUUUGAACCAAACAA
rnacentral:lncRNA from 1 species